rnacentral:lncRNA from 1 species
AGCAUCCCUCCAUAGGGUGUGAAGUCCCCGUAACCAAGGGGAUGUGCCCUCUGGGAGCCUGCAUUCCCCUUCUUGAUGAUCACACUAUGGGUAUCCAGAAUUCUGGAAUCUUUUGCUCAAAUUGCCCAAGUCCACUGCCUCUGGGGGCAUCUUUUCCCAUCUACCUUUCCACCAGUGUGGGCAUCUCUAACCAAAGGGAUGUGGCAUCGCAUGGCCCACAGGCGCUGCUGCGGGAUGGAAACUGAGGCUCGGAGGGGAUACAGGCAUGAAGGUGCACAUUUGCUCCCUGGGUACAGCUGGGUUUCAAAUGGGAAGAAAGGGAAUUAUUCUCGUUUGGGGUUUUGUGGAGAAGCUCGGGCCAUUUGUGUCCAGGAAUCUUGUGAACUUUAAGAGCUUCUGUAAGGAGGACACCUCCCCAUCUCGGGGUGAGGACCUCCUGUCCCUAAGGGACUCAGCCUCUCCAGCUGAUGGCAGCUGUGCUGGCGGGUUCCUGCCAGGGGAGGGCUGAGCCGUGUUCCGGAUGUGGGAGAGUGUUGUGAAAACAGGAAAGCUCCCAUUCCUGGAAUGGUCUGUGAACGUGGGAAACCAUUAACCUACCCGACAUCUGAAGACCAAGAGCAGCUCAACUUUCAGAGAUUGUUAACACACCUUCCAAUGCCCCUUUCUAGGCCGGACAGUUGUUUGAUUAAGUCCCACUACCUGGGGUGACUUUUUUUGAACAGGAGUUGCUUUUUCAAAUCCAGAGAAGUAGGAUUAAAGUUGGAUGUUCUCUGUCCUUGAAAGAGCUGGUAUUAGGAUAAAUUCAAAGAUGACUAGCUAUACAGAAUGGGGAGCAAACUGAAGAAUGAGGCUCAGAGCUGUGCUCCCCAGAGUGGUCCUUGAGCGGCAUCAGAACUGGCAAGUACCUCUGGGGGUGGCCAGGAAUCUGCAUUCUAUUUUAUUUUAUUUUUUAAAGGUUUUAUUUAUUUAUUCAAGAUAGAGAGAGUGAAUGAGACAGAGAGCAUGAUCAGGGUGAGGGGGAGAGGGGGAAGCAGGCUCCUGGCUGAGCAGGGGACCGAUGUGGGGCUCAAUCCCAGGACCCCGGGAUCAUGACCUGAGUCGAAGGCAGAUGCUUAACCAACCGAGCCACCCAGGUACGCCCUGCAUUCCAUUUUUUAAAAAGAUUUUUUAAAUUUAUUCAUGAGAGACACAGGGAGAGAGAGAAGCAGAGGGAGAAGCAAGCUCCAUGCAAGGAGCCCGAUGCAGGACUCGAUCCCGGGACCCCAGGAUCACGCCCUGGGCUGAAGGCAGGCACUUAACUGCUUAGCUGCCCCGGGAUCCCCUGCAUUCCAUUUUAUUUUAUUUUAUUUUUAAAUUUUUUCCCCCUGCAUUCCAUUUUAAAUGAAGGUAU